rfam:Scleropages formosus scaffold1555, whole genome shotgun sequence.
UUGGUGAAUAAUUGUAAAUCACUUUGGAUAAAAGUGUCUGCUAAAUGACAAAUG